AGUCGAGCGCGAAAGCCACCUUCGGGUGGCCGGUAGAGCGGCGAACGGGUGCGUAACACGUGAGUAACCUGCCCUGAGGUUGGGGAUAACUAUUCGAAAGGAUAGCUAAUACCGAAUACGUCCACAAUGCCGUAUGGCGAUGUGGAGAAAGGGGGCCUUCGGGCUCUCGCCUUUGGAUGGGCUCGCGGCUCAUUAGCUAGUUGGUGAGGUAAUGGCUCACCAAGGCCGAGAUGAGUAGCUGGUCUGAGAGGACGAUCAGCCACACUGGGACUGAGAUACGGCCCAGACUCCUACGGGAGGCAGCAGUGGGGAAUAUUGCGCAAUGGGGGAAACCCUGACGCAGCAACGCCGCGUGGGUGACGAAGGCCCUUGGGUCGUAAAGCCCUGUCAGGAGGGAAGGACAUCGUUGUGGUUAAUACCCAUGGCGACUGACGGUACCUCCAAAGGAAGCACCGGCUAACUCCGUGCCAGCAGCCGCGGUAAUACGGAGGGUGCGAGCGUUGUUCGGAAUCACUGGGCGUAAAGCGUGCGUAGGCGGCUGUGUAAGUCGGGUGUGAAAGCCCGGGGCUCAACCCUGGAACUGCGCCCGAAACUACACGGCUUGAGUUCGGAAGAGGGUUGCGGAAUUACCGGUGUAGAGGUGAAAUUCGUAGAUAUCGGUAAGAACAUCUGCGGCGAAGGCGGCAACCUGGUUCGAAACUGACGCUGAGGUACGAAAGCGUGGGGAGCAAACAGGAUUAGAUACCCUGGUAGUCCACGCUGUAAACGAUGUUCACUAAGUGAUGGAUGGCACGCG
rnacentral:rRNA from 1 species